CCUACGGGGUGCAGCAGUGAGGAAUAUUGGUCAAUGGACGAGAGUCUGAACCAGCCAAGUAGCGUGAAGGAUGACUGCCCUAUGGGUUGUAAACUUCUUUUAUAUGGGAAUAAAAUGUUCCACGUGUGGGAUUUUGUAUGUACCAUAUGAAUAAGGAUCGGCUAACUCCGUGCCAGCAGCCGCGGUAAUACGGGGGAUCCGAGCGUUAUCCGGAUUUAUUGGGUUUAAAGGGAGCGUAGGUGGAUUGUUAAGUCAGUUGUGAAAGUUUGCGGCUCAACCGUAAAAUUGCAGUUGAAACUGGCAGUCUUGAGUACAGUAUAGGUGGGCGGAAUUCGUGGUGUAGCGGUGAAAUGCUUAGAUAUCACGAAGAACUCCGAUUGCGAAGGCAGUUCACUGGACUGCAACUGACACUGAGGCUCGAAAGUGUGGGUAUCAAACAGGAUUAGAUACCCGAGUAGUC
rnacentral:rRNA from 1 species